rnacentral:rRNA from 1 species
AUUGAACGCUGGCGGCAUGCUUUACACAUGCAAGUCGAACGGUAACAGGCCGCAAUGUUCUGACGAGUGGCGCACGGGUGAGUAAUGAAUCGGAACGUGCCCUGUCGUGGGGGAUAACUAAUCGAAAGAGUAGGUAAUACAGCAUCCGAUCUUUGGAUGAAAGGGGGGGCCCGUACGGACUCGCGCGAAUGGAGUGGCUGCUGUCAGAUUAUGUAGUUGGUGGGGUAGAGGCUCACCAAGCGAACCAUCUGUAGCUGGUCUGAGAGGCCGACCAGCCACACUGGGACUGAGACACGGCCCAGACUCCUACGGGAGGCAGCAGUGGGGAAUUUUGGACAAUGGGCGCAAGCCUGAUCCAGCAAUGCCGCGUGCAGGAAGAAGGCCUUCGGGUUGUAAACUGCUUUUGUACGGAACGAAACGGCUCUGGUUAAUACCCGGAGCUAAUGACGGUACCGUAAGAAUAAGCACCGGCUAACUACGUG